rnacentral:rRNA from 1 species
CCUCAAAAAGGAGUGACGGGCAAUUUGUGCAUGCUAAAUGGCAAUUUCAAAAAGAAAUUUUCUUCAUUUUUUUUUUUAGGUUCUUUUUUCUUUAUAUUCAAAAUCAAUUUCAUUCCCUUAGAAUGUAUCCCCAAAAGUCAAAUAUAUCAACUCUGUCUCGAUUUGUUUUCCAACCCUGAUGGUCUACAAAGAAAAACUCUUCUUUUUCUUCACCCACAAUGAUAUAGAGGCUCAUAAAAUUUGUCUCUUUAAACGUGUAUUGACGAUUCUUUUUUAGGACCCCCUAAAUUGUUUUAGCACCGCCAUUAUACAUAGAUUUUAUUUAUUUAAUUACUCUCUCGAAUUUUUAUUUAAAA